GGGUGGGUAAUUCAGGGGUAGAAUGAUGGGCUGGUUCCAUGUAACGGCGGUUCGAGUCCGCUCCCAUCCACAA
rnacentral:tRNA from 1 species